CACAGCAUGUUGAAUGUACUUGUUCCCAAUAGAUCACUGAAGUUAAGCAACGUUUCGCGUGGUUGGUAUCCGGAUGGGUGACCAUGUGGGGUACUUGU
rnacentral:rRNA from 1 species